UUACGCUGUUAUCCUAAGGUAAUUUUUUCUUUUAAUCAAUAAAAUUGGAUCAUUUAAUCACUUAUUAAUGUAAACUAUUAAAAAAAGUUAAUUAAAUUUUUUUAUCACCCCAACAAAAUAAUUUAAAAUUAUAAAAAUAUAAAAAUAAAAAUAUUUACAAAAUAAAUUAUAAAACUCUAUAGGGUCUUCUCGUCUUUUUAAAUAAUUUUAACUUUUUAAUUAAAAAAUUAAAUUCAAUUUUUUUUUAUAAAAGAGACAGUUUAUAUUUCAUCCAAUCUUUCAUACAAGUCACCAAUUAAAAGACUAAUGAUUAUGCUACCUUUGUACAGUCAAAAUACUGCAGCCCUUUAAUAAAUAUAUCAGUGGGCAGAUUAGACUUUAAAUUAUUAACAAAAAGACAUGUUUUUGGUUAAACAGGUG
rnacentral:rRNA from 1 species